UACGUAGGGUGCAAGCGUUUGUCCGGAAUUAUUGGGCGUAAAGAGCUCGUAGGCGGUUUGUUGCGUCGGCUGUGAAAUCCCGAGGCUCAACCUCGGGUCUGCAGUCGAUACGAGCAAACUAGAGUGUUGCAGGGGGAGACUGGAAUUCCUGGUGUAGCGGUGAAAUGCGCAGAUAUCAGGAGGAACACCGGUGGCGAAGGCGGGUCUCUGGGCAACAACUGACGUGGAGGAGCGAAAGCGUGGGGGAGCGAACAGG
rnacentral:rRNA from 1 species